rnacentral:rRNA from 1 species
AGAGUUUGAUCAUGGCUCAGGAUGAACGCUAGCUACAGGCUUAACACAUACAAGUCGAGGGGAAACGACAUCGAAAGCUUGCUUUUGAUGGGCGUCGACCGGCGCACGGGUGAGUAACGCGUAUCCAACCUGCCCAUCACUUGGGGAUAACCUUGCGAAAGUAAGACUAAUACCCAAUGACGUCUCUAGAAGACAUCUGAAAGAGAUUAAAGAUUUAUCGGCGAUGGAUGGGGAUGCGUCUGAUUAGCUUGGUUGGCGGGGUAACGGCCACCAAGGCGACGAUCAGUAGGGGUUCUGAGAGGAAGGUCCCCCANAUUGGAACUGAGACACCGGUCCAAACUCCGUACGGGAGGCA